GACAUAGGUGGCGAACGUUAUCCGGAAUUGUUGGGCGUAAAGGAUGCGUAGAUGGUAGAAUAAGUUACUGGUCGAUGCCAAACUCAAUUUGACGGAAGCUGGUAAUACUGUUCUGCUCGAGGGCAGGAGAGGUUGAUGGAAUUCUGUGUGGAGCGGUGAAAUGCGUUGAUCUACAGAGGAACACCAAAAAAGGCGAAGGCAGCUAACUAUUUCACUCCUGACACUGAGGCAUGAAAGCGUGGGUAGCAAACCGG
rnacentral:rRNA from 1 species